AAUAAUUUUUAAGACACAAACAUUUACGGUGCUUUCAUGAACACAUUGAAAUUUUAUGAUUUAUUAAAUUGUGCAUUCAAUUUGCCAUCAUAAACAUCACCAACAAUCAACAGUUUAAUUGACAGUUAAUCUUUUUCUGCUUCUGCAAGUUCUGAUCAUUUCAUUCUCUAUUUGUUCUGUUUGUGUAUUUGUUGUUUCCAUUUUAGCUUCACUUUUUUCCCUUCUUUUUUUGUCUCGUAAGAUUGUUCAUCUUGAUCAACAACAGCAACAAUUCAAAACCAUCAUUUAUUGGAUUCAUUUGAUUCAGACAGAAUAAAAUGUCUAUUCAUUUUGAACUCUAAUCUUUACCUAAAGAGUCUAUUUUUGUGUCAUCAUUUAACAUUUCCCGAUCAACUCUACAAAAUAUUCUGCGAUUAAAUACAUUGAAAGAAAGGUUUGACUAGUGAUUAUGUUUCCUUACAUUUCUGUAGUGUAUUACCUUUAAAUAAUUUCAGUAGAUAUUGUCAUUCUCAUGACUUUAUACAAAUACACUGUAUACAGAGACAGACAGAGGAUGCAGUUGAAAUUGAAAGGUACAUAAAGAUCUGCAAGGUCCACUCUUAUGAUGAGGAAAAGACCAUUAGUAUUCUUGACUGGACCCUUUAACAUGACAUGACCAUUCAAUCAGUCCUGAUGAACCCCCAGGGAAUUUAACUUACAAUUUAUAUUUAUAACUCCAGGUAUUCCAUUCUCAUCUUUUUCAUUUUAAUUUCUACUCUCCAUGCAUAAUUGUAAUUUCACUGUCAUUUAUAAUAAUUUAUUAUAAUUUGAGACAGACAUUCACAAUAAUGUUUGCAGAUAAAAAUAAUGAUUUGGUUACAAGGUAAACAUUUGAAAUGUUUUCAGGAUAAAAUGGAUCAAAAAUGACUUGCAAAUAGACAAAAUAAAUGUGUAACUAUUCACAAAAGUCAAAAAGAUAAGUUGACAAGGCUUUCAUUUUAUCCAUGGAGACAAAACCUUCCAUGAAAAUUUCAAAUUUUACCCUCAAAAAAAGUCAAAAACUGCUAGAUCAGGGUAACACUUUAACUUUUUUGUGCCUAUCAUUCAUCUCGCCCUAUUACUGUUAUUGUUUCAAUAUUUUUACUCUCAGAAUAUAUUUUUAUACGAAACUCGGGAAAUCUGGUCAUAAGAAUGAUUGGUCAUCCAUUGAUGAAUGUUGAAUUGAGAAAUUGCCUUUUAAAGCCAAAUAGAUGUAAAAAUAUAUCAAAAAAAAUCAUCAAUCUAUCUGUUCUCAUUAUUUUUGACUCAACAUUUGAUUGAACCAAAUCUAAAAGGAUCAGAUAUAAUAUCCAGGUUAACUGAAUGGCACUUUGCUCGGAUAAACUUGCAUCUUCUGUGAAUCAUUGUCGUUAUUGCCAUUAUUUCAAAUCAGAUGAAUGAUAACUGAACAAGAAACGGAUAAAAUCGGAAACAAUUUCAAUCAUUUGGUUCAAUCGUUCAAUAACAGAUUAUCAAGUGUCUCUGAUUGCAAAAAGUCUCAUCGAUUAGCUUCUUUGUCAAUGUUUAACAAUGAAAUUACAUUCAAUGUGUGAUAUUGACCUUUCAACUUUCCAUUUCAUUCAACACUUUGACCCAACAAAUUGCCAGAUAAUUAUUGAAGUGAUGAUUGUUCAUUUGAUUGUCAAUAUGAACAAAAAUCAAUAUUGACAGUAAAUUUCGCAUUCGAUUGUCUUUCAGUGAAUUUAGGUUAAAAUGAAAACAAUUUGUGCGUUACCUUGUGCAGCACUUUUACCAAUGUUCAUUGUUAAUUAUUUCUUCUUCUCGCACUAUUAUCAUAUUAAUUUGGUUAAUCAUUAGUCAACGAAAAACGUAAAAAAAUUAAUUAUCUCUUUCUCCGAGUUUUCAGCUCAGAUGAUUAUAAAUGUGUCUAUACAAUGACAAUUUGUAUUAUUCUCAUCAUUAAUAGCCUUUUCUCAUGUGCUCAUCUCAUCGUUACUAUUAUUAUCAUUAUUAUUAUACCCAUUAUCAUUGACAUUGUCGUAUUUUUUGCAUUCACUUUCACCAAUUUAUAUUCACCUAACAUAAUGUUAAACCUGAAAAUUGAUAUUCUCUAUGAACUUUCUCGUUCUCUGCUUACCUCAACAUUAUAAUAUUUUCAUAUUUACUACAUUGUCAUGAUUUAAUACCCAAUCCUUUGCCUUUCUGCUUCGUCUCAUUUUUCAUCACUUAACCAUUCUCGUCAAUCCAUAGACCAAACCAUCAAAUUAUCAUUCAUGUAAUUCAAAUCACAGUUACCAAAGUGAUUUAAAGUGUACAGAUUUUUGAUGAAAUUCAUAACCAAAUAACUAUAAAUACAUUUUGACAAACAAACCAAAAGUCAAGGAUAACCCAAGAAUCAAAUUUCAAUGGGAAACAUCCAUUAACUGAUAAUUAACAAUAACAAAUGCUCAAGAAAACUCAGCGAGAGAAAAAAUCGAUUCAUGAACAUUAAAAUCCAAGAGAUUGAAUUGCUUUAAACUACUGACAAAGACUCAAGACAAACAGUGAAAACAAUUAGUCUUUGAAUGGUUCAUUAGUUGAUCAAUUUAAUAUAAUUAUUUGAAAUUCAGUUCAAGAAGCUGCGUCUAUUUGAAUGAUUGUUCAUUGUCAACUUCCUACACAAUUUACCUUCAAAAACCAUUUUUCACAUUGAAUAAUUGCUAACAUUUGUAAUGAUGAAAAGGUUAAACGUUUCCGUAACAAUCAAAAUAAUUUUGUAAUGAAAUCCAAUUGUUCAAGUAAAGGCAAAACUUUUGAUUAAUUGGUUAAACUGAUUCAAUAUCUUCAUCAAACUGCAAUUCAAAUUGAUCAAAUGGUUAACCUUUUGACAAAAAUGGUAAACACUGAUCAUUGUGAUUUGAAUAGUGAUUUGGAGGUUGAUUAAUAAAUGUUGCUUUUCAUGGUUACCUUUCAUUUACCAUUUAAUUGUAACAUAAUGGUAAUAAUGAUGAAAAUGUCCCAAUUUAAAAGGUGAAAUUGCAAUUAAA